rnacentral:rRNA from 1 species
AGCAGCCGCGGUAAUUCCAGCUCCAAUAGCGUAUAUUAAAGUUGUUGCAGUUAAAAAUGCUCGUAGUUGAACUUCGGGGUUUACUCAUUGGUCAGGCUUAAUUGUCUGUACUGGUGAGAUGAAUCUCUACCUUCUGAGGAACUUUCAUGCCAUUUAUUUGGUGUGGUUGGAAAUCAGGACUGUUACUUUGAAAAAAGUUAGAGUGUUUAAAGCAGGCUAACGUCUGAAUACAUUAGCAUGGAAUAAUGAAAUAGGACGGAUUGAUUCUAUUUCGUUGGUUUCUAGGGUCACCGUAAUGAUUAAUAGGGAUAGUUGGGGGCAUUAGUAUUCAAUUGUCAGAGGUGAAAUUCUUGGAUUUUAUUGAAGACUAACUACUGCGAAAGCAUUUGCCAAGGAUGUUUUCAUUAAUCAAGAACGAAAGUUAGGGGAUCGAAGACGAUCAGAUACCGUCGUAGUCUUAACCAUAAACCUAUGCCGACUAGGGAUCGGACGAAGUUAAUUAAUAAUGACGCGUUCGGCA